rnacentral:rRNA from 1 species
GAUGAACGCUGACAGAAUGCUUAACACAUGCAAGUCCACUUGAACUUCGGUUUGGGUGGCGGACGGGUGAGUAACGCGUAAAGAACUUGCCUCACAGAUAGGGACAACAUUUGGAAACGAAUGCUAAUACCUGAUAUUAUGAUUAUAUGGCAUCGUAUAAUUAUGAAAGCUAUAUGCGCUGUGAGAGAGCUUUGCGUCCCAUUAGCUAGUUGGAGAGGUAACGGCUCACCAAGGCGAUGAUGGGUAGCCGGCCUGAGAGGGUGAUCGGCCACAAGGGGACUGAGACACGGCCCUUACUCCUACGGGGGGCAGCAGUGGGGAAUAUUGGACAAUGGACCAAGAGUCUGAUCCAGCAAUUCUGUGUGCACGAUGAAGUUUUUCGGAAUGUAAAGUGCUUUCAGUUGGGAAGAAAAAAAUGACGGUACCAACAGAAGAAGAGACGGCUAAAUACGUG